AAUGGCAUGUAAUAAGAAGAUACUGGCAUUGUCAGCUCCGGUUUUCUCGUGCACUGAUUCGCUAGUCAAGGGCUAGCACUCCACCAAUCAGAUUGGUCAUUGAGUCCAACUGCCCACUGGCCGAUUCAACAUGUCAAUCGGCAGACUC